rnacentral:rRNA from 1 species
UACGGAGGGGGUUAGCGUUGUUCGGAAUUACUGGGCUAAAGCGCGCGUAGGCGGACUAUUAAGUCAGGGGUGAAAUCCCGGGGUCAACCCCGGGAACUGCCUUUGAUACUGGUAGUCUUGAGUUCGAGAGAGGUGAGUGGAACUCCGAGUGUAGAGGUGAAAUUCGUAGAUAUUCGGAAGAACACCAGUGGCGAAGGCGGCUCACUGGCUCGAUACUGACGCUGAGGUGCGAAAGUGUGGGGAGCAAACAGGAUUAGAUACCCCGUAGUC